UAAAAAUUAGCUUCUUUUUUUUUAUUUUAAUCCCCUAAAAAGUUCAAAAUAUAAUUAUUGGGCCCAUAAAAUAGGUCAACUAAAUAAAACUCUACUCAAACAGUAACUUCCAGAAACUUAACCAAACAAGCAGACACAGCUUAACUCACAAACUGACCUAAAAACAAAGACACAGCAGGGUAACCUUUAUAGUGGUUUGGCCAAACCAUUUACACACAAUAGGGGGAAACAAAAACAAACACCAAUACUAACUAGGCACAACAUAACAUAAGUAAACCUAAAACACACCUGUUUCUGACAAGCACUUGGUUGGUCCUGCUGAGAUGGCGUUGUUUUCAAAGUCCUCAGCUCUUGGCCACGCCUUUUGCCCAGACAGGAAACAGCCACCUCCCCAAACCAGGUAACUCAAAGAAAGAGAAACAUAGUAUAACAGAAAACUUUUUUUUUUUUUUGAAAACCACACAAUGCUACCAUGUGUGUGCUUCAUAAUAUCACUGUUAGGUUUAAGUAAAGACAUUAAUGAAUUAUUUUACUGAAAUAACUGCAAACCAAACUAAUGAAGUGAAUGAAUAGACUGAUUUUACUCAUGUGUGGCUGAUUCCAUCACAGUUGACAAGAAAGUAAAUUUAACAGAAGAAAUGCAGACCAGCUUGGAGACAACAAGGAAGUUUUCCACAGGGAGUGACCAACAGCUUCAGAUAACCCAGACUGGCUCUGCAACCAGCUCGAGCUGCUCCUGCACUGUCAGGCUGACAUGCAGUUGAAUAACAGAUGAAUGGACUGAAGCGCAGAAAAUGGAUUAAUGUGUGGGGUCAAACAGGACCUGCCCAUCACUUCAGGAAUCAACAGGUUCAUGGCAGGCUGAAGUCUAUCCUUGCUGCCACAGGGGUGAAAGGCAGUGUACACUCCAUACACAGACCAGCAACCACUGGCAUUCGCAUUCAUAACUAUGACAACAGUUUAAAGACACUGUCUUUGCUGUCUGUGGGGAGACAGUAAACACCUCCCAUGCAGACUUCCUGAGCCUUGAAAGGAUCCUGCCGUGUGCUGUGAUGAGGUGGGUAUAUCGAUCUCACUUUACAUCUUGGCUUCCCCUGAAACCACAUAAAUUUCUAUGCUUGAGUUGUUUAGUUGAAUAGAACUACAUCAUGAAAAAAAGGUGACGUCAUAUGUUUGGUGCUUGGUCUCUGGCAGAGGUGAAGACAUCUGCACUGUGUGAGGAGAAAAGAAUUUCUGUCGUGUUGUGUUGUUGUAACAGUGUAGGCAAUUUCAAAUUCUUUGCACAAAACAAACAAUCAACUACUCUUCGGACCAAAAAAGCAAUUUAAAUGCAAUUUCCUGUCAGAUUACUUUCAUGAGCGACAUAUUUGAACAGAAGAACAUUGGAGUUUCAUAUUUUCCAAAGCUCUGUGCAAUGUUUUGGAGUCUCAUAUGGAAUAAUACCUGAAAUGACCUGCCUGCGUUGCAUUUCUUCAUCUCUGGCACUCAUGGCAUUAAUUUGGGGGCAAUUUUACCCUGUGAUAUUAUCAGCUACAGCCCUUGACAACACCAUGCAGAGUCAUUCCUCGUGGUAAGGUCUUCAAUUUAUGUGGAAUGGAAAUUCAAUACUUUUAAUUAUUAGACUUUAUAAAAACCAAAAUAAGUUUUGAUAUUUCUCAUGUUUUUU
ensembl:lncRNA